GCCAAGAUGGUCUAAUCGGUUAAGGCGUCGCCACAGACAGGCGAAGGUUGCGGGUUCAAUCCCCUCUCCUGGCC
rnacentral:tRNA from 1 species